AUUGAACGCUGGCGGCAUGCCUAACACAUGCAAGUCGAACGGUAACAGGCCCUUCGGGUGCUGACGAGUGGCGGAUGGGUGAGUAAUACUUACGGAAUCUACCCUGUAGUGGGGGACAACCCGGGGAAACUCGGGCUAAUACCGCAUACACUCUACGGAGGAAAGCGGGGGACCGCAAGGCCUCGCGCUAUUGGAUGAGCCUAAGCCCGAUUAGCUAGUUGGUGGGGUAAUAGCCACCAAGGCAGUGAUCGGUAGCUGGUCUGAGAGGACGACCAGCCACACUGGGACUGAGACACGGCCCAGACUCCUACGGGAGGCAGCAGUGGGGAAUAUUGGACAAUGGGCGAAAGCCUGAUCCAGCGAUGCCGCGUGUGUGAAGAAGG
rnacentral:rRNA from 1 species